rnacentral:rRNA from 1 species
CCUACGGGAGGCAGCAGUGGGGAAUAUUGCUCAAUGGGCGAAAGCCUGAUGCAGCAACGCCGCGUGCGCGAUGAAGGCCUUCGGGUCGUAAAGCUCUGUUCUCAAGGAAGAUAAUGACGGUACUUGAGGAGGGAGCCGCGGCUAACUACGUGCCAGAGGCCGCGGUAAUACGUAGGGGGCUAGCGUGAUCCAGAAGUACUGGGCGUAAAGGGUGCGUAGGUGGUUUCUUAAGUCAGAGGUGAAAGGCUACGGCUAAACCGUAGUAAGCCUUUGAAACUGGGAGACUUGAGUGCAGGCAGGGAGAGUGGAAUUCCUGGUGUAGCGGUGAAAUGCGUAGAUAUUAGGAGGAACACCAGUUGCGAAGGCGGGUGUCUGGAGUGUAACUGACGCUGAGGCACGAAAGCGUGGGGAGCAAACAGGAUUAGAUACCCUUGUAGUC